ACGAACGCUGGCGGCACGCUUAACACAUGCAAGUCGAACGAGAGAAGAGAAGCUUGCUUUUCUGAUCUAGUGGCGGACGGGUGAGUAACACGUGAGCAAUCUGCCUUUCAGAGGGGGAUACCGAUUGGAAACGAUCGUUAAUACCGCAUAAUAUAAUUGAACCGCAUGAUUUGAUUAUCAAAGAUUUAUCGCUGAAAGAUGAGCUCGCGUCUGAUUAGCUAGUUGGUAAGGUAACGGCUUACCAAGGCGACGAUCAGUAGCCGGACUGAGAGGUUGAUCGGCCACAUUGAGACUGAGACACGGCCCAGACUCCUACGGGAGGCAGCAGUGGGGAAUAUUGCACAAUGGAGGAAACUCUGAUGCAGCGAUGCCGCGUGAGGGAAGAAGGUUUUAGGAUUGUAAACCUCUGUCUUCAGGGACGAAAAAAGACGGUACCUGAGGAGGAAGCUCCGGCUAACUACGUGCCAGCAGCCGCGGUAAUACGUAGGGAGCGAGCGUUGUCCGGAAUUACUGGGUGUAAAGGGAGCGUAGGCGGGAUCGCAAGUCAGAUGUGAAAACUAUGGGCUUAACCCAUAAACUGCAUUUGAAACUGUGGUUCUUGAGUGAAGUAGAGGUAAGCGGAAUUCCUAGUGUAGCGGUGAAAUGCGUAGAUAUUAGGAGGAACAUCAGUGGCGAAGGCGGCUUACUGGGCUUUAACUGACGCUGAGGCUCGAAAGCGUGGGGAGCAAACAGGAUUAGAUACCCUGGUAGUCCACGCCGUAAACGAUGAUUACUAGGUGUGGGGGGACUGACCCCUUCCGUGCCGCAGCAAACGCAAUAAGUAAUCCACCUGGGGAGUACGACCGCAAGGUUGAAACCCAAAGGAAUUGACGGGGGCCCGCACAAGCAGUGGAGUAUGUGGAUUAAUUCGAAGCAACGCGAAGAACCUUACCAGGUCUUGACAUCGUAUGCAUAGCUCAGAGAUGAGUGAAAUCUCUUCGGAGACAUAUAGACAGGUGGUGCAUGGUUGUCGUCAGCUCGUGUCGUGAGAUGUUGGGUUAAGUCCCGCAACGAGCGCAACCCUUACUGUUAGUUGCUACGCAAGAGCACUCUAGCAGGACUGCCGUUGACAAAACGGAGGAAGGUGGGGAUGACGUCAAAUCAUCAUGCCCCUUAUGACCUGGGCCUCACACGUACUACAAUGGCUGUUAACAGAGGGAUGCAAAGCCGCGAGGUGGAGCGAACCCCUAAAAGCAGUCUUAGUUCGGAUUGUAGGCUGCAACCCGCCUACAUGAAGUCGGAAUUGCUAGUAAUCGCAGAUCAGCAUGCUGCGGUGAAUACGUUCCCGGGCCUUGUACACACCGCCCGUCACGCCAUGGGAGUCGGUAACACCCGAAGCCUGUAGUCUAACCGCAAGGAGGACGCAGUCGAAGGUGGGAUUGAUGACUGGGGUG
rnacentral:rRNA from 1 species